ensembl:lncRNA
GUCUCGGGGCGCGGCGGCGGACCGCGGCGCAGCGGGGUACGUCGGCGUGUUGCGGCGCGGCGCGUCACUCUGUCGCGACGUGGCGUGGCGGCGUCAUCGUGGCACAGCGCGUCAUCGUGUCGUGACAUGUCGGCGUGUCGUGACAUGUCAUCGUGUCACCACAUCGCGUCACUGUGUCAUGACGUGUCAUGUCACAACAUCGUCAUCGUGUCACAGCGCGUCGUGGUGUCAUGACAUGUCGUUGUGUCAUGACAUGUCGUCGUGUUGUGACAUGUCGUUGUGUCGUGACAUGUCGUUGUGUCAUGACAUGUCGUGUCGUGACAUGUCGUUGUGUCGUGACAUGUCGUUGUGUUGUGACAUGUCAUUGUGUCACCACAUCGCGUCACUGUGUCACGACGUGUCAUGUCACAACAUCGUCAUCGUGUCACAGCGCGUCGUGGUGUCAUGACAUGUCGUUGUGUCAUGACAUGUCGUUGUGUCAUGACAUGUUGUCGUGUCGUGACAUGUCGUUGUGUCAUGACAUGUCGUUGUGUCGUGACAUGUCGUUGUGUCCUGACAUGUCGUUGUGUUGUGACAUGUCAUCGUGUCACCACAUCACGUCACUGUGUCACGACGUGUCAUGUCACAACAUCGUCGUUGUGUCACAGCGCGUCGUUGUGUCAUGACAUGUCGUCAUGUCACGACAUGACAUCGUGUCACCACAUCGCGUCACUGUGUCACAACGUGUCCUGUCACAACAUCGUCAUCGUGUCACAGCACAUCAUGGUGUCAUGACAUGUCGUUGUGUCAUGACAUGUCAUGGUGUCGUGACAUGUCGUUGUGUCAUGACAUGUCAUCGUGUCGUGACAUGUCGUCCUGUCACCACGUCGCGUCACUGUGUCACGACGUGUCAUGUCACAACAUCGUCAUCGUGUUGCAGCGCGUCGUGGUGUCGUGACAUGCGGUCGUGUCACGACGUGCCAUCACAUUUGUGUCAUGACGUGUCGUCAUGUCGUAACAUGUCACAACAUGUCACUGUCAUCAUGUCGUGAUACGUCAUCGUGUCACGUCACGACAUGUCACCGUGUCACAAUGUGUCAUCGUAUUGUGACGCGUCAGCGCGUCGUGACGUGUUACACCGUGUCACUGUCGUGACAUGUCGCUAGGUGUCAGCAUGUCACAUCGUGCCCCGACGUGUCAUCAUGUCAUGACGUCUCGUUGUGUCAUGCCAUGUCGCUGUGUCACAAUGUGUCAUCACGUCGCGACAUGUCACAAUGUCAUUGUCACGACGCGUUGCGUUAUGACAUCACCGUGUUGUGACAUGUCGUGACGUCUCAUGUCACACCGUGUCAGAACUUGUCACUGUGUCAUGACGUCAUCAUGUCACGAUGUGUCAUCAUGUCGUGACAUGUCACCAUGUCACAACACGUCACUGUCGCAACUUGUGUCACGAUGCCACUGUUACAUGUCGGCCUGUUGCAACAUGUCAACGUCGUGACAUCGUGUCCUGACAUGUCACCAUGUCACGUGUCGCCAUGCUGCGACACGUCCCCAUGUCCCGGCACGUCCCCAUGUCCCGGCACGUCCCCGUGUCCCGACACGUUGCCAUGUCAUGCCAUGUCCCGGCACGUCCCCGUGUCGCGAUGCAUCCCCGUGUCCCGACACAUCCCCAUGUCCCGACACGCCGCCAUGUCGUGCCAUGUCCCGGCACGUCCCCGUGUCGCGAUGCGUCCCCACGUUGCUGCGGCGCCGCGUGUCGCCGCGCCGCGUCACCGUGUCGCGACAUGUCAGGACGCGUCGCCGCAGACGGAGCCACGCGGCCAAUAAAUGGGAACGGAUCCGGCCCCG